UACGUAAGGACCGAGCGUUGUCCGGAAUCAUUGGGCGUAAAGGGUACGUAGGCGGCUAGAAAAGUUAGAAGUCAAAGGCUAUAGCUCAACUAUAGUAAGCUUCUAAAACUAUUUAGCUUGAGAAAUGGAAGGGAAAGUGGAAUUCCUAGUGUAGCGGUGGAAUGCGCAGAUAUUAGGAAGAAUACCGGUGGCGAAGGCGACUUUCUGGCCAUUAUCUGACGCUGAGGUACGAAAGCGUGGGUAGCAAACAGG
rnacentral:rRNA from 3 species